CUUGCAAUUUCCAGUAUAAAGAUUUAUAAUACGUGGGCUGCGAUGCAGUGAUGAUUCUGAACCCUAUGCGGAAUAGUCGUUUUGGACUGGGGGGCGGUACCCCACAGCUCCACCAUAAUAAAAAAUCACUUUAUGGGGCUGACAUAGUUUCGACAGGCGCAAUAAAGGCAUUAUGGCUGAAUUCGACACGGUUGUCGUAAAACACUAACUAAAAACUGAAUGGCGAUAGAAUCGCUGCGAACGACAAUGUUCGCCUUGCAAUGGCUGCUUAAAUAACAGCAUUGAUAUAAUUGGCAAUUGUUGAUUAUAUCGUUUUAGCUAUUGCGGGGUUGGCCGGGUACCUGGCACCAGAAACC
rnacentral:tmRNA from 1 species